GGGGAUUUAGCUCAGUGGUAGAGCACUUGCCUAGCAAGCACAAGGCCCUGGGUUCGGUCCCCCAGCUCCA
rnacentral:tRNA from 1 species